rnacentral:rRNA from 1 species
UACGUAGGUGGCAAGCGUUGUCCGGAUUUACUGGGCGUAAAGAGCGCGCAGGCGGUCGGCCAAGUCGAGUGUGAAAGCCCCCGGCUCAACUGGGGAGGGUCAUUCGAUACUGGUCGACUCGAAGGCAGGAGAGGGAAGCGGAAUUCCCGGUGUAGUGGUGAAAUGCGUAGAUAUCUGGAGGAACACCGGUGGCGAAGGCGGCAUCCUGGGCCGACACUGACGCUGAGGAGCGAAAGCCAGGGGAGCAAACGGG